rnacentral:rRNA from 1 species
UACGGGAGGCAGCAGUGGGGAAUAUUGCACAAUGGGCGCAAGCCUGAUGCAGCCAUGCCGCGUGUAUGAAGAAGGCCUUCGGGUUGUAAAGUACUUUCAGUCGUGAGGAAGGUGUUAAGGUUAAUAACCUUAGCAAUUGACGUUAGCGACAGAAGAAGCACCGGCUAACUCCGUGCCAGCAGCCGCGGUAAUACGGAGGGUGCGAGCGUUAAUCGGAAUUACUGGGCGUAAAGGGCACGCAGGCGGUUAAUUAAGUUGGAUGUGAAAUCCCCGGACUUAACCUGGGAAUGGCAUUCAAGACUGGUUAGCUAGAGUCUUGUAGAGGGGGUAGAAUUCCAUGUGUAGCGGUGAAAUGCGUAGAGAUGUGGAGGAAUACCGGUGGCGAAGGCGGCCCCUGGACAAAGACUGACGCUCAUGUGCGAAAGCGUGGGGAGCAAACAGGGAUUAGAUACC